GGGGCUGACAGGAAGAGGUGCCUCCCAGAGGCAGGAGCAAUGGCGACGGCAGCAGCAGCAGCAGCAGCAGCAGCAGCAGCAGCAGCAGCAGCAGCAGCUUUGAGGAGAGACUGAGACUUGGCAAGGGAAAAGCUUGGUAACACACUGUAACAGGGCUGAAAGCACAGAAUACGUGAUCAUCCUAAACCUUCACCCUCACUUUUGCCUCCAUUAUUUCGGGACUACAUACACAGCUGAACCCAGCUAGAUAGAAGGACCAUGUGCAGGUGAGCGGCGAAGGUCCCUCCCCCUUCACAGCUCCGUCUCAAUGUCAAGACACAGAUGUGACCACCUCUGUUGUCCAGAUCACUUCUGUUUCCCGAUGUCACCCCAGCCUUAGCCCAAGGUCUCUCCAGCUACAUGAAUGUUAGCUCCAUGUUCCACCAUGGUGGGCCUGGAGGAGGAGGCCCAUCAUUUCCUAAUAUCGAACAGGCAUCAUGGAUCCAGGUCCUCAUCUCCAGGCCUUUCCCACGCCUGUCUCCCAAAGCUGCAAGGCCAACGGGCAGAAGGGAAAGCCCCAAGUCUUCCAGCCCAGGAACAGUUCCCUGCAUCCUGUUUUUCUGUGAUGUCACUGAGACAGCUCAGAGCCCUGCCAGGGAGCCUGAGAAGCCCCAUUUGCCAUCCUGAAUCUCUAGGAGUCUCUGGAAAAGCAGAGUGCAUGAGGCUGAUAGGUCCCAGUGGCCCCAUAGCAGGCUCCACGUGCAGGACCAUUGUGAUGUGUGUUUCGGGGUCCAGUUGUGGUUCUGAGUCCUCUGCUUCCUCCCUCUCGGGGUGUCCAGAUGCCUUUGCACACCGGG
rnacentral:lncRNA from 1 species